AUGAACGCUAGCUACAGGCUUAACACAUGCAAGUCGAGGGGCAGCAUGGUCUUAGCUUGCUAAGGCCGAUGGCGACCGGCGCACGGGUGAGUAACACGUAUCCAACCUGCCGUCUACUCUUGGACAGCCUUCUGAAAGGAAGAUUAAUACAAGAUGGCAUCAUGAGUCCGCAUGUUCACAUGAUUAAAGGUAUUCCGGUAGACGAUGGGGAUGCGUUCCAUUAGAUAGUAGGCGGGGUAACGGCCCACCUAGUCUUCGAUGGAUAGGGGUUCUGAGAGGAAGGUCCCCCACAUUGGAACUGAGACACGGUCCAAACUCCUACGGGAGGCAGCAGUGAGGAAUAUUGGUCAAUGGGCGAGAGCCUGAACCAGCCAAGUAGCGUGAAGGAUGACUGCCCUAUGGGUUGUAAACUUCUUUUAUAAAGGAAUAAAGUCGGGUAUGGAUACCCGUUUGCAUGUACUUUAUGAAUAAGGAUCGGCUAACUCCGUGCCAGCAGCCGCGGUAAUACGGAGGAUCCGAGCGUUAUCCGGAUUUAUUGGGUUUAAAGGGAGCGUAGAUGGAUGUUUAAGUCAGUUGUGAAAGUUUGCGGCACAACCGUAAAAUUGCAGUUGAUACUGGAUAUCUUGAGUGCAGUUGAGGCAGGCGGAAUUCGUGGUGUAGCGGUGAAAUGCUUAGAUAUCACGAAGAACUCCGAUUGCGAAGGCAGCCUGCUAAGCUGCAACUGACAUUGAGGCUCGAAAGUGUGGGUAUCAAACAGGAUUAGAUACCCUGGUAGUCCACACGGUAAACGAUGAAUACUCGCUGUUUGCGAUAUACAGCAAGCGGCCAAGCGAAAGCGUUAAGUAUUCCACCUGGGGAGUACGCCGGCAACGGUGAAACUCAAAGGAAUUGACGGGGGCCCGCACAAGCGGAGGAACAUGUGGUUUAAUUCGAUGAUACGCGAGGAACCUUACCCGGGCUUAAAUUGCAGAUGAAUUACGGUGAAAGCCGUAAGCCGCAAGGCAUCUGUGAAGGUGCUGCAUGGCUGUCGUCAGCUCGUGCCGUGAGGUGUCGGCUUAAGUGCCAUAACGAGCGCAACCCUUGUUGUCAGUUACUAACAGGUUCCGCUGAGGACUCUGACAAGACUGCCAUCGUAAGAUGUGAGGAAGGUGGGGAUGACGUCAAAUCAGCACGGCCCUUACGUCCGGGGCUACACACGUGUUACAAUGGGGGGUACAGAGGGCCGCUACCACGCGAGUGGAUGCCAAUCCCCAAAACCUCUCUCAGUUCGGACUGGAGUCUGCAACCCGACUCCACGAAGCUGGAUUCGCUAGUAAUCGCGCAUCAGCCACGGCGCGGUGAAUACGUUCCCGGGCCUUGUACACACCGCCCGUCAAGCCAUGGGAGCCGGGGGUACCUGAAGUGCGUAACCGCGAGGAGCGCCCUAGGGUAAAACUGGUGACUGGGGCU
rnacentral:rRNA from 1 species